UUUCCUUUUGUUCUAAAAAAUCUACAUCUUCCCCUCUACUUUUGUAACCGCGUUGUUCUUUCCUCUUCGAGAAAAACGAGCGGGAAGAGAAGAGAGAGCAACGACAUGAAAUCCACAAGCACCAUCACCUCCAUCUUCCUCGUGACGGCCAUGCUCGUCCUCGUCCUCCUGCCCACAACUCACGCAACCCUAAAAUCUAAUGUCAAGUAUGCGGUGGGGACGAACAACCACACCAACUACUUGAGUGUGCGGUGCUUCUCAUUCAGUGAUGGUGAACCACCUUGCCUCGGGGGGCCAAUACGAGUUCAAGGUGAUGAAGCGGGCGGUCUACCCUUCCUCCACCAUGUACAUUUGCUCCACUAACAUGGGCACCUUCGUCGUCUAAACAUACGACUAUGAGUGCACUAGUGACGAGUAAGAGAAAUGUGACGGGCGAUUUGAUGAAGAUAAAUAGUGCUUAUAGAUGGGAACCAAACCUCAGUCUUUAACUAGUGUUGUUUUCCUUUGUGUUUUUGUACAAACACUAUUGUUAGAUGGCAUGAUUAGAUCAUUAUUUAAUCUAACAGUAGUAUUUUAUGUACUAAUUUGAACUUACGAUUUGUAUUUUAUGUUUGGAUUUGGGCUUA